GACGAACGCUGGCGGCGUACUUAACACAUGCAAGUCGAACGGAAAGGCCCUGCUUUUGUGGGGUGCUCGAGUGGCGAACGGGUGAGUAACACGUGAGUAACCUGCCCUUGACUUUGGGAUAACUUCAGGAAACUGGGGCUAAUACCGGAUAGGAGCUCCUGCUGCAUGGUGGGGGUUGGAAAGUUUCGGCGGUUGGGGAUGGACUCGCGGCUUAUCAGCUUGUUGGUGGGGUAGUGGCUUACCAAGGCUUUGACGGGUAGCCGGCCUGAGAGGGUGACCGGCCACAUUGGGACUGAGAUACGGCCCAGACUCCUACGGGAGGCAGCAGUGGGGAAUAUUGCACAAUGGGCGGAAGCCUGAUGCAGCAACGCCGCGUGCGGGAUGACGGCCUUCGGGUUGUAAACCGCUUUCGCCUGUGACGAAGCGUGAGUGACGGUAAUGGGUAAAGAAGCACCGGCUAACUACGUGCCAGCAGCCGCGGUGAUACGUAGGGUGCGAGCGUUGUCCGGAUUUAUUGGGCGUAAAGGGCUCGUAGGUGGUUGAUCGCGUCGGAAGUGUAAUCUUGGGGCUUAACCCUGAGCGUGCUUUCGAUACGGGUUGACUUGAGGAAGGUAGGGGAGAAUGGAAUUCCUGGUGGAGCGGUGGAAUGCGCAGAUAUCAGGAGGAACACCAGUGGCGAAGGCGGUUCUCUGGGCCUUUCCUGACGCUGAGGAGCGAAAGCGUGGGGAGCGAACAGGCUUAGAUACCCUGGUAGUCCACGCUGUAAACGGUGGGUACUAGGUGUGGGGUCCAUUCCACGGGUUCCGUGCCGUAGCUAACGCUUUAAGUACCCCGCCUGGGGAGUACGGCCGCAAGGCUAAAACUCAAAGGAAUUGACGGGGCCCCGCACAAGCGGCGGAGCAUGCGGAUUAAUUCGAUGCAACGCGUAGAACCUUACCUGGGUUUGACAUGGAUCGGGAGUGCUCAGAGAUGGGUGUGCCUCUUUUGGGGUCGGUUCACAGGUGGUGCAUGGCUGUCGUCAGCUCGUGUCGCGAGAUGUUGGGUUAAGUCCCGCAACGAGCGCAACCCUUGUUCACUGUUGCCAGCACGUUAUGGUGGGGACUCAGUGGAGACCGCCGGGGUCAACUCGGAGGAAGGUGGGGGUGACGUCAAGUCAUCAUGCCCCUUAUGUCCAGGGCUUCACGCAUGCUACAAUGGCUGGUACAGAGAGUGGCGAGCCUGUGAGGGUGAGCGAAUCUCGGAAAGCCGGUCUCAGUUCGGAUUGGGGUCUGCAACUCGACCUCAUGAAGUCGGAGUCGCUAGUAAUCGCAGAUCAGCAACGCUGCGGUGAAUACGUUCCCGGGGCU
rnacentral:rRNA from 1 species